rnacentral:misc_RNA from 1 species
CUCGGGAACAUGAAGUUGGAAUCGCUAGUAAUCGCGGAUCAGCAUGCCGCGGUGAAUAUGUACCCGGGCCCUGUACACACCGCCCGUCACACCCUGGGAAUUGGUUUCGCCCAAAGCAUCGGACCAAUGAUCACCCAUGACUUCUGUGUACCACUAGUGCUACAAAGGCUUUUGGUGGUCUUAUUGGCGCAUACCACGGUGGGGUCUUCGACUGGGGUGAAGUCGUAACAAGGUAGCCGU